rnacentral:misc_RNA from 1 species
UCCGGUUCUUCACCAGCAGUCUCCUUAGAGUGCCCAGCAUUACCUGAUGGCAACUAAGAAUAAGGGUUGCGCUCGUUGCGGGACUUAACCCAACAUCUCACGACACGAGCUGACGACAGCCAUGCAGCACCUGUUCCUAAGCUCCUUGCGGCACUCCCGUCUUUCAACAGGAUUCUUAGAAUGUCAAAGGUAGGUAAGGUUCUUCGCGUUGCAUCGAAUUAAACCACAUGCUCCACCGCUUGUGCAGGCCCCCGUCAAUUUCUUUGAGUUUCAACCUUGCGGCCGUACUCCCCAGGCGGAGAACUUAUCGCGUUAGCUUCGCUACCAAUGGGUUUUACCCCACCAACAGCUAGUUCUCAUCGUUUACAGCGUGGACUAC